GCUGACGUAACUCAGUGGUAGAGUGCUAUCUUGGUAAGAUAGAAGUCGGAAGUUCAAUUCUUCUCGUCAGCACCA
rnacentral:tRNA from 1 species